AUACGGAGGGUGCAAACGUUGUUCGGAAUUACUGGGCGUAAAGCGCGCGUAGUCGGUUUGUUAAGUCAGAUGUGAAAGUCCACAGCUCAACUGUGGAAGUGCAUUUGAAACUGGCAGACUUGAGUACUUGAGGGGGUGGUGGAAUUCCCGGUGUAGAGGUGAAAUUCGUAGAUAUCGGGAGGAAUACCGGUGGCGAAGGCGACCACCUGGCCAGAUACUGACGCUGAGGUGCGAAAGCGUGGGGAGCAAACGGGAUUAGAAACCCUAGUAGUCC
rnacentral:rRNA from 1 species